rnacentral:rRNA from 1 species
UACGGAGGGUGCAAGCGUUAAUCGGAAUUACUGGGCGUAAAGCGUGCGUAGGCGGUUCGUUAAGUCUGUUGUGAAAGCCCCGGGCCCAACCUGGGAAUGGCAAUGGAUACUGGCGAGCUAGAGUGUGUCAGAGGAUGGUGGAAUUCCCGGUGUAGCGGUGAAAUGCGUAGAGAUCGGGAGGAACAUCAGUGGCGAAGGCGGCCAUCUGGGACAACACUGACGCUGAGGCACGAAAGCUGGGGGAGCAAACAGG